AGUAGAAUUUCUGGGUCAUGUGGAAAUUCUGUCUUUUACUUUUUGAAAAAUCACCAAACUGUUUUCCAUGGUAACUGUACCAUUUUCUAUUUUUAUCAUAAAU
rnacentral:pre_miRNA from 1 species